rnacentral:lncRNA from 1 species
UUCUUUUAUUCAUUCAUUCAUUUACUUUUUUUCACAGACAGGACCUCACUUUGUAGUGGAGACUGGCCUUGAACUUACUACAUAGCCCAGGAUGGCCUGGAACUCAAGGAAAUCCACUUUCCUCAGCCUCCAGAGUGCUGGAACUACAUGCAUGAACUACAGCUCAAAGUAUUUUUAUGAAUGUAAAACUACAGGCUAAGAAAUACAGGAGGAGAAACAAUUUUCUGAAGUUAAUAACAAAGGCUGUGGGGAAAUCAUACAAAGCUAAACUGCAUAGCACAGAAACCUGCUAAACAAAAAACUUUUUGAAACUUCUAUUACUUUUUUUCUUAUUGUUCUAUGAGAUUUAAAGUACAUUUAAAGAGCA